CUGCGAGUUGGAGCGGACUGGAAUUCCGCUUCCCUUCCGUCCCGAAGUUUCUGCGCGGUGUCAACACACACAGUAGGACUCCUCUGCUGAGUACGUCUCGUCCUGCUGCGCUGAAAGGGAACACGCCUCACAGGACAGGAAGAGAACUCGGCACUGACUCGGCUCUUGAUCGGUCCGGACGCGAGACAGCGUGUGGGCUGGGGGUGGGACUGGUGACGUCAUGGACCCUGCAUUGUUUAAUAUUGCGAUAAAUAUCGUUGAAAAAAAUAACAUUUGCUAUGUACAUUUUCUUCCAAUAUCUUGCAGCCCUAGUUCCUAUACUUUUUAAGGGGAGUGUAUCUCUCUCUAUUUAUAUCUCUCUUACUCUCUAUCUCUCUCCCUGAUCUGUUUUGCUCUCAAACCAAAAUCUG
rnacentral:lncRNA from 1 species